CCCCGGUUAGCUCUGUCGGUAGAGCGCUCCACUGGAAAUGGAGAAGUCACUCGUUCGAUAACAAGACCAGGCGGAUUUUUCGGUUGCGCACCAGUCACCUAGCUGUGUUCGGGGA
rnacentral:tRNA from 1 species